rnacentral:rRNA from 1 species
UAGUAGUACGGAAUAAUUGUUGGAAACGGCAACUAAUACCGUAUAUGCCCUACGGGGGAAAAAUUUAUUGCUAUUAGAUGAGCCUAUAUUAGAUUAGCUAGUUGGUGGAGUAAUAGCCUACCAAUGCAAUGAUCUAUAGCUGAUCUGAGAGGAUGAUCAGCCACACUGGAACUGAGAUACGGUCCAGACUCCUACGGGAGGCAGCAGUGGGGAAUAUUGGACAAUGGGCGAAAGCCUGAUCCAGCCAUGCCGCAUGAGUGAAGAAGGCCUUUGGGUAGUAAAGCUCUUUUAGUGAGGAAGAUAAUGACGGUACUCACAGAAGAAGUCCUGGCUAACUCCGUGCCAGCAGCCGCGGUAAUACGGAGAGGGCUAGCGUUAUUCGGAAUUAUUGGGCGUAAAGGGCGCGUAGGCUGGUUAAUAAGUUAAAAGUGAAAUCCCGAGGCUUAACCUUGGAAUUGCUUUUAAAACUAUUAAUCUAGAGAUUGAAAGAGGAUAGAGGAAUUCCUGAUGAAGAGGUAAAAUUCGUAAAUAUUAGGAGGAACACCAGUGGCGAAGGCGUCUAUCUGGUUCAAAUCUGACGCUGAAGCGCGAAGGCGUGGGGAGCAAACAGGAUUAGAUACCCUGGUAGUCCACGCUGUAAAC